GUCCCUGUAGCGCAAUGGAUAGCGCGUCGGACUUCUAAUCCAAAGGUCGUGGGUUUGAAUCCCACCAGGGAUG